CUCUAUGGAAGUGUUUACUUUAAUUCUUCCCUCUCUCCAGGCUUCCGCGCUCUCUCUGGCAGGCACCUCUACUGUCAGUGCUUACAUCCAGGUACCCCACGAUGUUUAUGAAGAAGCUCAGGGGAAGACACAACAAUAUGUCUCCCAAGUAUGAUCCCACAGGAGGAGAAGGAGCAGCAGCAGCAGCAAAAUAUUCCUUGUCUUGCUGAUUUGGAUAUAUCUCAGGAAUAAAGAGUCCAUCUGUUGUCGACCGCGUUUUAGGGGAUCGGGCCCUUAAGGAGAGACCCGACCCGGUCCAGAGGGAACGGACCUUGGCGAAGCCAAAAGGAGAAUAUAAGCCGCAAUACAACCUGAAGCCUGAAAUGAAGAAGGUUCGCCAAAGUUGAAGGAAAAUCCGCCAAGGAGUCUUUAUUGAGCAAUUCAGCUGAAAAGGACGCUAAUAGCGAUCAUUCAAUCUACUAGCGUAACAUAUGUUUCAAAUAAAGCCAUA
rnacentral:lncRNA from 11 species